CUACUAACUGGUGUAAAAUGUAAUUAUCAUAUAGGUCUCUAAGGCCUGAAGAAAAGUCAUUUGGAGUGGGCAUACAUGGACUAGCUUCGAGAGUACUUGCUGGAAUCCCAUCUCCCAUUUAUUUUGGAGCUUUGAUAGAUACAACUUGCUUAAAGUGGGGUACUAUGACGUGUGGUGGAGAAGGAGCAUGUAGGAUAUAUGACAUUGUCACAUACAGGUGGCUCUAUCUCGGCCUGCCAGCAAUAUUACGUGGAGUGUCCUAUAUCCCAAGUGCAGUAAUUCUCCUUAUUUUAAGGAAGAAACUUAAAUCUGAAACCCAAGUCUUAUUGAAUGCACCAGUAGAAAUGCAGGAUAAAGAACAAGAAGCAUUGAAAUAAUAUUUCAAAGCAAGACAUAUUGUGAAAAAGCCUUGCAGUGUAAAAUACUUGUGAAAUAUUUCACACUUUGAUUAGUGAACUUGAACAGAGAUUAAUAGAAUUACACGUAGUUGUAUCCUAAUUAUAAAAGUAUCAGUUUAUAAACAGAAGGUACUGUAAAAAUGUGUUUGGUGCAAAAGAACAAGGAGUGGAAAUAAGAAAACUUACAAAAUGCUAGGUUUGAGCUGGAUGAGCAAAGGACUGUGAAAUAGAACAUUAUGUUUUCAGUCCUGGUUUCACUGAACAUAGUGGGAGUUUUGCAACUGACUCCAGAGAUGCCAGAUUUCGUCUUGGAAUUCUACAAUGGCUACUGCCAGAGCCUCUUUCAUUGGCAAGAUUUGUACCUUCUUUGGGCCUGAGUUUUCCUUAAAUUUAAUUAUGCUGUUUUAGUCCUUUCAGGCAGGGACUGUUUGUUACUCUGCAUAAUGUAGGUGGUUAAUAUAUUGGGAACAUGGCUUAUGGCAUGGUUUGGUGCUGUGGUAGCAAUAACAAAUAAAAAAAGGAAAAGUUAACCUUUUUU